rnacentral:rRNA from 1 species
AGAGUUUGAUCCUGGCUCAGGACGAACGCUGGCGGCGUGCCUAAUACAUGCAAGUAGAACGCUGAAGAGAGGAGCUUGCUCCUUCUUGGAUGAGUUGCGAACGGGUGAGUAACGCGUAGGUAACCUGCCUGGUAGCGGGGGAUAACUAUUGGAAACGAUAGCUAAUACCGCAUAAAAUUGCUUAUCGCAUGAUAAUUAAUUGAAAGAUGCAAUUGCAUCACUACCAGAUGGACCUGCGUUGUAUUAGCUAGUUGGUGAGGUAACGGCUCACCAAGGCGACGAUACAUAGCCGACCUGAGAGGGUGAUCGGCCCACACUGGGACUGAGACACGGCCCAGACUCCUACGGGAGGCAGCAGUAGGGAAUCUUCGGCAAUGGGGGGAACCCUGACCGAGCAACGCCGCGUGAGUGAAGAAGGUUUUCGGAUCGUAAAGCUCUGUUGUAAGAGAAGAACGGGUGUGAGAGUGGAAAGUUCACACUGUGACGGUAUCUUACCAGAAAGGGACGGCUAACUACGUGCCAGCAGCCGCGGUAAUACGUAGGUCCCGAGCGUUGUCCGGAUUUAUUGGGCGUAAAGCGAGCGCAGGCGGUUAGAUAAGUCUGAAGUUAAAGGCUGUGGCUUAACCAUAGUAUGCUUUGGAAACUGUUUAACUUGAGUGCAGAAGGGGAGAGUGGAAUUCCAUGUGUAGCGGUGAAAUGCGUAGAUAUAUGGAGGAACACCGGUGGCGAAAGCGGCUCUCUGGUCUGUAACUGACGCUGAGGCUCGAAAGCGUGGGGAGCAAACAGGAUUAGAUACCCUGGUAGUCCACGCCGUAAACGAUGAGUGCUAGGUGUUAGGCCCUUUCCGGGGCUUAGUGCCGCAGCUAACGCAUUAAGCACUCCGCCUGGGGAGUACGACCGCAAGGUUGAAACUCAAAGGAAUUGACGGGGGCCCGCACAAGCGGUGGGAGCAUGUGGUUUAAUUCGAAGCAACGCGAAGAACCUUACCAGGUCUUGACAUCCCUCUGACCGCUCUAGAGAUAGAGUUUUCCUUCGGGACAGAGGUGACAGGUGGUGCAUGGUUGUCGUCAGCUCGUGUCGUGAGAUGUAA